rnacentral:rRNA from 1 species
GAGUUUGAUCAUGGCUCAGAUUGAACGCUGGCGGCAGGCCUAACACAUGCAAGUCGAGCGGUAGCACAGAGAGCUUGCUCUCGGGUGACGAGCGGCGGACGGGUGAGUAAUGUCUGGGAAACUGCCUGAUGGAGGGGGAUAACUACUGGAAACGGUAGCUAAUACCGCAUAACGUCGCAAGACCAAAGAGGGGGACCUUCGGGCCUCUUGCCAUCAGAUGUGCCCAGAUGGGAUUAGCUAGUAGGUGGGGUAACGGCUCACCUAGGCGACGAUCCCUAGCUGGUCUGAGAGGAUGACCAGCCACACUGGAACUGAGACACGGUCCAGACUCCUACGGGAGGCAGCAGUGGGGAAUAUUGCACAAUGGGCGCAAGCCUGAUGCAGCCAUGCCGCGUGUAUGAAGAAGGCCUUCGGGUUGUAAAGUACUUUCAGCGGGGAGGAAGGUGUUGAGGUUAAUAACCUCAGCAAUUGACGUUACCCGCAGAAGAAGCACCGGCUAACUCCGUGCCAGCAGCCGCGGUAAUACGGAGGGUGCAAGCGUUAAUCGGAAUUACUGGGCGUAAAGCGCACGCAGGCGGUCUGUCAAGUCGGAUGUGAAAUCCCCGGGCUCAACCUGGAACUGCAUUCGAAACUGGCAGGCUAGAGUCUUGUAGAGGGGGGUAGAAUUCCAGGUGUAGCGGUGUAAUGCGUAGAGAUCUGGAGGAAUACCGGUGGCGAAGGCGGCCCCCUGGACAAAGACUGACGCUCAGGUGCGAAAGCGUGGGGAGCAAACAGGAUUAGAUACCCUGGUAGUCCACGCCGUAAACGAUGUCGACUUGGAGGUUGUGCCCUUGAGGCGUGGCUUCCGGAGCUAACGCGUUAAGUCGACCGCCUGGGGAGUACGGCCGCAAGGUUAAAACUCAAAUGAAUUGACGGGGGCCCGCACAAGCGGUGGAGCAUGUGGUUUAAUUCGAUGCAACGCGAAGAACCUUACCUACUCUUGACAUCCAGAGAACUUUCCAGAGAUGGAUUGGUGCCUUCGGGAACUCUGAGACAGGUGCUGCAUGGCUGUCGUCAGCUCGUGUUGUGAAAUGUUGGGUUAAGUCCCGCAACGAGCGCAACCCUUAUCCUUUGUUGCCAGCGGUUAGGCCGGGAACUCAAAGGAGACUGCCAGUGAUAAACUGGAGGAAGGUGGGGAUGACGUCAAGUCAUCAUGGCCCUUACGAGUAGGGCUACACACGUGCUACAAUGGCGCAUACAAAGAGAAGCGACCUCGCGAGAGCAAGCGGACCUCAUAAAGUGCGUCGUAGUCCGGAUUGGAGUCUGCAACUCGACUCCAUGAAGUCGGAAUCGCUAGUAAUCGUAGAUCAGAAUGCUACGGUGAAUACGU